rnacentral:tRNA from 1 species
GGCCGCGUAGCUCAGUUGGCUAGAGCGUUGGUUGUACUAAAGCCUUCCCUUUGCUGGCGUGGGUUCGAAUCCCACCGAGGCCA